GCGUACCCAGCCCGGCUGCACGACGCAGGCCUAGGCGAGGGCUCAGGACAGAGCGGUGCCAGGCGCUGAGGUCGGUGUCAGCCCAGCUGCGGAGCAGUUUUCCAGGGCUGAGCGCGGAGCUGCCUGUGCUUCUGCAGGGGAACAAUGAGCUUGUGCAUCUGUGGGAACUCUCGUGCCCGCUGGGCGCUCAGCUCGGAGUCCCAGAAUAUCAGACACAAUUAUAUUCAAAUUUAUAUCUUACAGACCAUAGACUUGCCCUGGUAUGCCUGGAACUUGGAAGAAUGCAAACCAUGCUAAUUGAUAUAGAUCAGCUCUUUGUUUACACUUUACUACAAAGAUUCAAGUAAUCAAGUUUAUCAAACACAUAACUGGAAAAAGCAGUUAACGCAAGAAUAUAACGUGGUUGUUGUCUCCACCUACGUCAUAUUACACCCUUGGUGUUGGAGUGGACUUCAUGAAGUGAAGGUAAGUCUUAGUUCCAGUAAUUAAUGCACACAUUAAAGGAAAACAUUUUGAGGCUACAAUAUAGAUACAGCAACUUGCUCUUUU
rnacentral:lncRNA from 1 species